ensembl:lncRNA ALOX12P2 arachidonate 12-lipoxygenase pseudogene 2
ACUGGAGAAGCUGAAGGUCUGCUUCCGGGAGAUGCUCCCGACUUCACCUGGAGCUGAGUCAAGUUAGAGAACCGGACCAAGCGAAAUACAGGGGCAGAGGAGGCAGCAGGGAGGCCCUGGGAGCUCUUUGAAUCCCCAGGUAGCCUAUUCCUGCCUGGCACCACUGGGAUUCAUCAGGAGGGAGGCCAGAGGAGCAGGAGGUGGGAGGCGGAAAGCCUCGGGCAAGUUUUCAAGCCCGUCCUCUGUCUGGAAACAGACUCAGAGGUGUUGCAGGGGACACGGUGGGAGUGAGACCAGCCCUUCGGUGUGCGUGGGAUCUGGGGGAGGCCUGUGACUGCCGGCUUUCCCCUGCUUCUCUGACAACCUGCAUGACUCAGCAGAGGCAGCCAUAAUCCUGGAGAGCCCCGGUUUAAGAUCUCCAGUCAGAACCUUCAGGAAGGGGAGAGUGGCUCAUGGGCUGAGUGGAUAAACCACAAAAUGGGUAAUAUACUAUAGGAGGCAGAGUUUGAGAUCGACGUCCCCCUGCACCUGGGGCGCCUCCUGAUGGUGAAGCUGCGCAAACACAACGUGCUGUUGAGUCUCGACUGGUUCUGCAAGUGGAUCUCAGUGCAGGGCCCGGGGACCCAAGGCGAGGCCUUUUUCCCCUGCUACCGCUGGGUGCAGGGCCACGGAAUUAUCUGCCUGCCUGAGGGUGGGGCUCCUGGAAAGAUGGGUUAAUCCUGCCUAUAGCAGGGAAUAGGCAACCGGACCUUCCUAGGGACGAGCGAUUCCUCGAGGAUAAGGAUUUAGACUUUAAUGUCUCCCUAGCAAAAGGGUUGAAGGACUUGGCCAUUAAGGGGACACUGGAUUUCAUAAAUUGUGUGAAAAGGCUGGAAGAUUUCAAAAAAAUAUUCCCACAUGGAAAGACUGUCCUGGCUGAGCGGGUUUAUGAUUCUUGGAAGAAUGAUGCCUUCUUUGGGUACCAGUUUCUCAAUGGUGCAAACCCCAUGCUCCUGAGGUGUUCUUCAAGGCUCCCAGCCUGCCUGGUGCUGCCUCCAGGGAUGGAAGACUUGAAGACCCAGCUGGAGAAAGAACUCCAGGCUGGAUCUCUGUUUGAAGUGGAUUUCUCCUUGCUGGAUGGAGUCAAGCCUAAUGUCAUCAUUUUUAAGCAGCAAUGCGUGGCAGCCCCUUUGGUCAUGCUGAAGCUUCAGCCUGAUGGAGGACUCUUACCCAUGGUCAUCCAGCUCCAGCCACCUUGACACGGAUGUCCCCCACCUCUGCUCUUUCUGCCCUCGCAUCCCCCCAUGGCCUGGCUCCUGGCCAAGACCUGGGUCCGGAGCUCUGAUUUCCAGCUGCAGCAGUUACAGUCACAUCUGCUGAGGGGACACUUGAUUGCUGAGGUUAUUGCUGUGGCUACAAUGAGAAGCUUGCCUAGCCUCCAUCCUAUCUACAAGGUGGUGAGCACUGGUAGUGGAAGCCACGUGGACAUUCUUCAGAGAGCCAUGGCUUGUUUGACCUAUCAUUCCCUCUGUCCUCCUGAUGACCUGGCUGACCGUGGGCUCCUGGAUGUGAAAUCUUCUUUUUAUGGCUAAGAUGCCAUCAGGCUGUGGGGAAUCAUCAGCCGGGAAUAGGUACGUGGAGGGGAUGGUUGGGCUUUUCUACAAUAGUGACCAAGCCAUGAAGGAUGAUCUAGAGCUGCAGGCCUGGUGCAGAGAGAUGACUGAGACUGGACUGCAGAGGGCCCAAGACCAGGGGUUCCUCAUCUCCUUAGAGUCCCGGGCUCAGCUCUGCCACUUUGUCACCAUGUGCAUCUUCACAUGCACAGGUCAGCAUGCUUCUAACCACCUGGGCCAGCUGGACUGGUACUCCUGGAUCCCUAAUGGCCCAUGCACCAUGCAGAAGCCCCCGCCCAUCUCUAAGGAUGUGACAGAGAAGGAUAUAGUGGACUUACUGCCCAAUCUCCACCAGGCACGUAUGCAAAAGACCUUCACAAAGUUCCUUGGCAGACGCCAGCCUGUCAUGCAUGAGGAGAAAUAUUUCUCUGGUCCUGAGCCCCAAGCUGUGCUGAGACAAUUCCAGGAGGAACUGGCUUCCAUGGACAAGGAGAUUGAGGUCCGGAAUGCAGUCCUGGACCUGCCCUGUGAGUACCUUUGACCCAGCAUGGUAGAGAACAGCGUGACCAUCUGAGAGGCCUUGCCCGCCUCAGCUCCAAAGCUCCACCAUCCCUGAGUGCCUUUGAGUAUUCCGUCCUCCUCACAUCCUCUGGUGAACAAAUUGUCCCCAAAGCUUUGUGGUCAGGGUAUCCAGAGCUGCUCACCACACAACUAUGGGGAAUACACAGUGAUGGUCCCCAUUGCAUUUGGAAGUGGCAUCCCCCAAAGCUGCCCUACCUUAAAUGUCCAUCCAGUCCUGCACUUCCUCACCCCGAUCCCUGCACACCUCCUCAUUGCCAAAGGACCUGGCUUAGAUACAAGUAAAAAUAUAUGAUUAAAUAACAAAACGGAUUAUAUGUGUGGUGGUGGAAGGUGGGAGGAGAGACCUUGCUUUGUUUCCUGCCCCUUUAUUCAGAUUCCAAAGAAGGAAAGAAAAGUUUUCCUGGAAUGAAAAUUUUUUCUAGCAAUCAAUGCUUUUUCCAAGGGUAUCUUGGAACCUCUCUAAGUUAAAUGACAAGUGUUCUGGAUGACUGAGUCCACUGGGGCUAAGAAACCUGGCUCUUGACAAGGGUUUUUGGCUUGAGGCCUCUCUGAAUCCUCAAUAAGCCAUCCCUUAGGCUACCUGCAGCAACGCCUCUGGUGCAACUCCCAGCACAGCCCUCCUGCAUGAUCCCUCCCCAGCUGCAUCCCAGCCUUCCUCUCAGUCCUGUCCCAGGACUCUUGAUAAACCCUCUUCUCAUCAUGCUCUAUCCUUGCAUCCUUAAAACAUACCAUCUAGCCCACAGUCCUAGAUACUGGAGAUAAAUGGAUAAAGAAGGAACUAGUAGGCCAGACUCUAUGUUAGAAAUUUUAAAUAUAUAAUCUCAAUUUAUCACACCGGGCACAGUGGCUCAUGCCCGUAAUCCCAGCACUUUGGGAGGCCCAGGGGGGCAGAUCAUCUGAGGUUGGGAGUUCGAGACCAGCCUGACCGACUUGGUGAAACCCCUUCUCUACUAAAAAUACAAAACUAGCCAGGUGUGGUGGCAGGUGCCUGUAAUCCCAGCUACUUGGGAGGCUGAGGCAGGAGAAUCACUUGAACCCAGGAGGCAGAGGUUGCAGUGAGCCGAGAUUGCACCAUUGCACUCCAGCCUAUACAGCAAAGAGUGAAACUCGGUCUCAAAAAAAAAAAAUUUAUCCUCACAACUUCUCUGUGAGGUUGGUAUCACUAUCACCAUCUUAUAACAGGAAAAUGAAGGUUGGAGAGAUAAGGGCAGAAAUGACCUGGGACCAAAAUGCAGCAGAGUCAGAUUCCAUUUGCUAGAAGGAAGCAAAGCCCAGGAUUGUGGUCAUAGCAAUAACAGUUAAAAGACUGAUCAUAAAAUCUAGAGGCCAAUGAAAGCCUCGGAUGGAUCUGAUGUAAUGGGAAAAAAAGGAGAGAUAAAGAUUCUUUGAGUCUUUUAAAGAAUCUUAUGCAUUCAAAUUACUUAUGUCCCAUAUAUUUUUAAAAGGAACAUAUACAAUACGGUUAAUACGGUAGAAAUAGACAUGUGUGAGCCAUCCAGAUUCACCUACUGAUGCCCUCAACCUUCUAAUGUCCCGUCCUGUUCUGUGUAUUGCUUCCGUCCAUCAUAUGACUUUUUUCAGUAGAUGACGAAAGAAUUUUAAGAUAGCCACAGACCAUAGACUCACAGAAUCUGACUUGGUUGCUAGAAGUUUUUGUGGUUGCAUGGAAUGGUAGCAAGGAGAGUCAGAAGAGAGGGAGGGGAUGAGGAAGAGGCAGAGGUCACGCUGAGGUUUUCAGUUGCGGCACAACUGGCGAGAAAUACAAAGAUUCAGAAGGAAGGUUGUUUAAGUUUGAUGUAAUACUGUGGUUCUUAUGGGAAGAAAUUAAACAGGUAAUUGGAGAGGCUGAACUGAAAAAAGAAAGGAGGUGAGUUCUGGCUGGGCGCGGUGGCUCACGCCUGUAAUCCCAGCACUUUGGAAGGCCAAGGUGGGCGGAUCACGAGGUCAGGAGAUGGAGACCAUCCUGGCUAACAUGGUGAAACCCCGUCUCUACUUAAAAAAAAUACAAAAAAUUAGCCGGGCGUGGUGGCGGGAGGCUGAGGCAUGAGAAUGGCGUGAACCGGGAGGCGGAGCUUGCAGUGAGCCGAGAUCGAGCCACUGCACUCCAGCCUGGGCGACAGAGAGAAACUCCGUCUCAAGAGAAAAAAAAAAA